AUCCUAGUGCACGGGCAAUACACGUAUCAGUGAGGAGACAUCCGAGAUCGUGUUUUUGCUAGUUGAAAACUAUUUUUUUGACCGCUCUAGUUGGCCUUCGGGUCGGCUAGGAAUUUUUGAAAACAAACUGCCCUGGCUCAUAUUUG
rnacentral:snRNA from 26 species